rnacentral:rRNA from 1 species
UACGGAGGGGGCGAGCGUUAUUCGGAAUUAUUGGGCGUAAAGGGUGCGUAGGCGGCGGGGCAAGUCUGAUGUGAAAUCCCGGGGCUCAACCCCGGAACUGCAUUGGAUACUGCCUUGCUUGAGUACUGGAGAGGAGACUGGAAUUUACGGUGUAGCAGUGAAAUGCGUAGAGAUCGUAAGGAAGGCCAGUGGCGAAGGCGAGUCUCUGGACAGUAACUGACGCUGAGGCACGAAGGCCAGGGGAGCAAACGGG